UACGACUACAUAUCAGGCAUAUCAAUAAGCGGAGGAAAAGAAACUAACAAGGAUUCCCUAGUAACGGCGAGUGAAGCGGGAAGAGCUCAAAUUUGAAAUCUUCAAGGUUCUACCUUGACGAAUUGUAGUUUAAAGAAGUGUUUUCUGUUAGAUGAGUAGCAAAAGUUCCUUGGAAUGGGACAUCAUAGAGGGUGAGAAUCCCGUAUUUGGUUAUUCAUUCUAGCUUUGUGAUACACUUUCAAAGAGUCGGAUUGUUUGGGAAUGCAGUCCAAAAUGGGUGGUAAAUUUCAUCUAAAGCUAAAUAUUGGCGAGAGACCGAUAGCGAACAAGUACCGUGAGGGAAAGAUGAAAAGAACUUUGAAAAGAGAGUUAAACAGUACGUGAAAUUGUCAAAAGGGAAAGCGUUUGACACCAGUGUUGUUUUUCCGAAAAUCAAUUACGAAUGGCUUGAUUUUGUGUUGUAUUGACCUUAUCAGCUUUCUUCACUUUUUUCGAGUCUUUCUUAAUGCACUUUUCGGUUAACAAGUCAACAUCAAUUUCUUUUGUUGUAAAAGAGUAUUCGGAAGGUGGCUUUCUUUUCGGAGAAAGUGUUUAUAGCCCUAUACUUCUACAAUCGGAGAGAUUGAGGUCUGCAGCGUAGAUCCUUCGGGGUUAGAUACACUUGUGCUAAGUUGUAGCUUUUCAUAGACAACUUGUUGACUAUGUUUAGUCAUGCGGCUUACUCGCUUGUGCUAUUUUACCUACGCUUAGGAUGUUGAGUAGCGACAUACGCAC
rnacentral:rRNA from 1 species